rnacentral:rRNA from 1 species
GAACGCUGGCGGCAUGCCUUACACAUGCAAGUCAAACGGCAGCACGGGAGCAAUCCUGGUGGCGAGUGGCGAACGGGUGAGUAAUAUAUCGGAACGUGCCCGGUCGUGGGGGAUAACGUAGCGAAAGCUACGCUAAUACCGCAUACGAUCUACGGAUGAAAGCGGGGGAUCGCAAGACCUCGCGCGAUUGGAGCGGCCGAUAUCAGAUUAGGUAGUUGGUGAGGUAAAGGCUCACCAAGCCGACGAUCUGUAGCUGGUCUGAGAGGACGACCAGCCACACUGGGACUGAAACACGGCCCAGACUCCUACGGGAGGCAGCAGUGGGGAAUUUUGGACAAUGGGCGCAAGCCUGAUCCAGCAAUGCCGCGUGCAGGAUGAAGGCCUUCGGGUUGUAAACUGCUUUUGUACGGAACGAAACGGUGAGCUCUAAUACAGUUUGCUAAUGACGGUACCGUAAGAAUAAGCACCGGCUAACUACGUG